rfam:Daucus carota subsp. sativus cultivar DH1 chromosome 3, whole genome shotgun sequence.
GUUGAUGUGAUGAUCAAAGUCAUGCACCACUCUGAAUUAUCAGUGAGGAUAAACAUUUCAUUUACCCAUUUUUUGGAUCUGAGCCC